rnacentral:snRNA from 1 species
AUGUUGGCUUCAGCAGCACAUAUUCUAAAAUUGGAACAACACAGGAAAGAUUAGUAUGGUCUCUCUGCAAGGAAGACCUGGAAAUCUGUUAAGUGGUCCAUAUUUUA